rnacentral:rRNA from 1 species
UGGGGAAUAUUGGACAAUGGGCGCAAGCCUGAUCCAGCCAUGCCGCGUGAGUGACGAAGGUCUUCGGAUUGUAAAGCUCUUUUUGGCGGGGACGAUAAUGACGGUACCCGCAGAAUAAGCCCCGGCUAACUUCGUGCCAGCAGCCGCGGUAAUACGAAGGGGGCUAGCGUUGUUCGGAAUUACUGGGCGUAAAGCGCACGUAGGCGGACUCUUAAGUCAGGGGUGAAAUCCCGGGGCUCAACCCCGGAACUGCCUUUGAUACUGUUAGUCUCGAGUCCGAUAGAGGUGAGUGGAAUUCCUAGUGUAGAGGUGAAAUUCGUAGAUAUUAGGAAGAACACCAGUGGCGAAGGCGGCUCACUGGAUCGGUACUGACGCUGAGGUGCGAAAGCGUGGGGAGCAAACAGGAUUAGAUACCCCAGUAGUCCCUGAGCGGGCUGGCAAGGCGCAU